GAAACCUCUAAAGCUAUAAUUUUACGUGUUUAUUAAAAAAUGUAUAAAUAUUUUAAAACUAUUCCAUUGCAUAUGGAUUAUGAAGGACAAUUGCUAGCUGAAAAAAUAUACCAAUCUAUCAUAAUUAUAUUUGGGGUUUUCUUCUGGGUUAUUAUUUCCAGUUGUUUUCUUAUACGGUAUAUUUAUUGGGAAUAGGCAUUUUGAUAUCUUCUUUAAUGGUUAUACCAGCAUGGCCUAUUUAUAGACAAAAACCUUUAAAGUGGCAAAAACUUA